GAAAACAUCAGACAGUGAAAGACUACAUUGUGGUAACUUGUUUGAGUUUAAAUGAUGCUCAAAACUACCUUGUCCAAAUGGUGAUCAGAAGUUGAUGAACCUCGAUCUGGUUAGAGCACUUCAAAAGGUCUCAGAGCUUGGGAAUUGUUGUAAAAUUGCAAUGUGUUUACAUCAUACCAAAGAUAUAAUGUGCCAAGAAAGGUUUCAUUUGGAUGCCUGAGCAUAAAGUUAUGGUAUGUUGAAGGUUGCAUGAAAAAC
rnacentral:lncRNA from 1 species